rnacentral:rRNA from 1 species
UACGUAGGGGGCAAGCGUUGUCCGGAUUUAUUGGGCGUAAAGAGCGUGUAGGCGGCCAGGUAGGUCCGUUGUGAAAACUCGAGGCUCAACCUCGAGACGUCGGCGGAAACCCUCUGGCUAGAGUCCGGAAGAGGAGAGUGGAAUUCCUGGUGUAGCGGUGAAAUGCGCAGAUAUCAGGAAGAACACCAGUGGCGAAGGCGGCUCUCUGGGACGGUACUGACGCUGAGACGCGAAAGCGAGGGGAGCAAACAGG